rnacentral:rRNA from 1 species
GGGAUGACACAGUAGGAUAAGCUAAGCACACUGUUGGUUAUGUGUGCCCAAGCAUUGAGGCAGUCAAAGUAGGCAAAUCCGCUUUGAUAAUGCUGUGAUGUGAUGGGGAGCGAAAUUUAGUAGCGAAGUAGCUGAUUUCACACUGUCAAGAAAAGUCUCUAUCGAGGUUAAAGGUACCCGUACCGCAAACCGACACAGGUGGGUGAGGAGAGUAUCCUAAGGC